UGUUCCACUGUAUCUUUUUCUUUUAUACAAAAGUUGUCCUCCACUGGAGACCCAGAAUUUGAUUUCUAUGGUAGACAUGGCACAGUAGAACCAAAGGCUUCUGCCAUUCAUCUUGCACCACCUUUUUGUUUCAAAGAACAAGUUUCAAUAUUUUGAGAAGGUCUCACUACUGACUAACUGAAAAAAAAAGAAAGACAGAAAGAGAGAAAGAGAGAAAGAGAGAAAGAGAGAAAGAGAGAAAGAAAGAGAGAAAGAGAGAGAGAGAGAGAAGGAAAGAAGAAAAGAAGGAAAGGGAAGAAGGAAAGAAGGGAAGAAGGAAGGGAAGAAGGAAGGAAGGAAGGAAGGAAGGAAGGAAGGAAGGAAGGAAGGAAGGAAGGAAGGAAGGAAGGAUUACAUUCAUCUGAUUCCUAAUGGCUUGGUCACAUAAGGAAGUGACACAAGUCCCAGCUGUUCUUGAGAAGAGGCCAUGGACUGAAACAACUGAAGAAUGGAGCGGGAGACCUCUGGAGGGACAUGGGGGCUAAAACUCCUAAUGGAAUUGACAAAACAAGUGGAAAAUGUCAGCUUCACACAAUUCCUGACUCAGGAGGAAUGAAGGCACGACUGAGAUACCAAGAAAAGCAGUUCCCUCGAGUUUUUUAAGAACUAGAAGAUGGAAUAAUCAUCUUAACUUUCAAAGAGAACUACCAAGCUAUCUAAAGUCCUGGCAGCCUCCAGUAUGCCCUCUAUGAGACCAGCACAGAGGCAAAAGGAAUGGAAUGGAAACGUGCAGGUGGUGGAAGGGAAGUGCCUGUCAACGAACUGCAGCAGCCUGUGAAAUAUUCACACAGCUUCUUUCUUUCUCCAUGGCCAACACAAAAUAAAAUUU
rnacentral:lncRNA from 1 species